UACGGGGGGAGCAAGCGUUGUUCGGAUUUACUGGGCGUAAAGGGCGCGUAGGCGGCCACCGCAAGUCGAUUGUGAAAUCUCCGGGCUUAACCCGGAAAGGUCAACCGAUACUGCGGGGCUAGAGUGCGGAAGGGGCAACUGGAAUUCUAGGUGUAGCGGUGAAAUGCGUAGAUAUCAAGAGGAACACCUGCGGCGAAGGCGGGUUGCUGGGCCGACACUGACGCUGAUGCGCGAAAGCUAGGGGAGCGAACGGG
rnacentral:rRNA from 1 species